UGCCGCCGCCGCCCGGGGACGCGGCGCCCGGGAGAUGCAGGUUUCAGCUGGGUACUGAUGGGUGUGAGCAGCAGAGAGUGCAGAGGAUUACCAUUGCCAUUUGAACCUGCCCAGGUGUAGUGCAUCUUCUCUGUAACUCAGGACUGUGAGAGAGCAGAUGGGAAGUACUUUUCUUUAGCUUCCCCUGUGAGCUCUACAUCUGGUCGCGCUUUUUCAACUGUGCCGUGGUUCCUAGGAAGGUGAAAGGGCGCCCCGUCCCGGCGGCCGGCUCGGCG